AUGAAAAUAGCUGACAACUUCAAGACUAAAUUUGAUGGAACAUUAAAGGGUAAACAGACUUCACUGUCUGUAGAGUAUCUUAACUAUUAUUUAUGCAUUUAUUCCCUAGCGCUCUUUGAAAGCAGGAGAAAUGAAUUUGCAGAGCAGAUUAACAAAAUGGAGGCCAGGCCCAGAAGACAAUCUAUGAAGGAAAAAGAACAUCAGGAGGUGCAGAAUGAAGAAAAGAAGGAAGAACAGAGCAAGGAGCAGGAAGAGGGUAAGGUGGCUCAGCAGGUGGAAGAGAUGGAGACAGGUAAUCAGCACAAUGAUGUAGAAAUGGAGGAGGUAGGGGAGGAAAAGGGAAAAAUAGGUUCAGGUUCAGGGCAUAGUGAUGCAGAAAAAGAACAGGAAGAGGACGAGCAGAAACAUGACAUAGAGAUGAAAGUAGAAGAGCCUACUGAGGUGAGGGAGAAUGACAAACAACAGGAUGGUCAGCAUGAGGAGAUCACAGUUGUCAAAGAGGAAAGUGAAAACGUUCAGCCAGUGGAUAAUGAGCAGGAUGUGGCUGAAAUGAAUGAAGCAGAUAGUGUAGAACCUGUAGAAAAUGAAAAUGGCAAAGAAAUAGAACCAGAAACAGAGUGUGAUGCUCAGCCAGAGAAAGUGUGUCAUGUGCCUUCUCCUAAGAAGGAGAAAGGUAUCAAAACAGAAAAUAAAACUGAACUUGAAGAAACACAGGAGAAAACACCUGAAGCUCAGACAGAAUCUGUGGCUGAGGCUCUGUCUCAGCCACAGUCUGUGCCGCUAGCACAGUCACCUCAGUUGUCUCAGUCCACUCAGGAUACAGAGCCCCAGACAGACAAGGAUGAAAAUGCUGUGGUGUCUGUAAAGGUGGUUGAAGCCCAGGCAGAGCAGAAUCAGACACCGAGUGCAGAAAGUAAGAGUAAGACUAGGAGUAGAAGCAGGGGUAGGGCAGGGAACAAAACUGGUCAUAACCGUAGCAGCAGCAGUAGUAGCAGUAGCACUUCAAGUAGUACCACCAGUGCGAGUAGUUCCAGUACUGGCAGCAGUACCAGUCGGAGCAGUUCCACCAGCAGCAGCACUACAAGUGGGAGUACGAGCAGGGACAGCAGCAGCAGUAGCUCUAGCAGCAGUGAAAGUAGAAGUCGAAGCCGAGGCAGAGGGCAUAACAGAGAUAGAAAACGUAGAAGGAGCACAGACAGGAAGCGAAGGGAUGCUUCGGGAGUAGAUAGAAGUCACAAGUCCUCAAAAGGUGGUGGCAGUAGAGAUACCAAAAGCUCAAAGGAUAAAAGUUCGAGGUCUGACAGAAAGAGAUCUAUAUCAGAAAGUAGUCGGUCAGGCAAGAGAACUUCACGGAGUGAAAGAGACCGUAAAUCAGACAGGAAAGACAAAAGGCGUUAACAGAAGAGACCAAGCUUCCUUAGCCUAAUCUUUGCAGCAGAAGAUUAUUUGAGUGAAAGGAUUCCUUGUAAGGAGGAAGAGAAGGCUGCCUUAAGAGUUGCAUGCUGUAAAAAAAUCUUUUGGAAAAAGCAGACUGUUUACCAGGCAUUCUUGUACUUUUUACAUAAUUUUGUAAAAGGUUACUUACCAAAAUUAUGUGAAGUUCCUGAAAAUGUAAAAAUAAAAGAUUAACACUCCUUUGCAUCUUUUUUUUAAAUAACCUGUACUCAUUAAGAUCCUCUGUAUAUUUUAGUAGGUAGACCUUUAAAGUAGAUGUGAUCAUUUCUUCUGUAUCAUACACUUUUUUUUGUAGAAAUAAAUGUGCAUUUUAAAUAAAUUGUUUGAGAUGUCCUGUUGACAAUUAAAUUCCCCUUUUUAGAUUAUAUGUAGGGAGACCAUAUUGCAGGAAGUACAAAAUUUUGCCUUUCCCCUCUAUUCCUUGCAAGAAUGGGAAUUUUAAGACCUAGUAAAGCAAAUCUCUCCAGUGCUGGGUAGAAAGGCAGAGUAAUUAUUUGAAUCUAUACUUUUUGUUUUCCUCUGUAACCACAAGCUCUUAGUCAAUUCUGUCUGUCCUCCAGUUUUAUAAAAAUUUCCUAUCCAUAGGCAAGCAGUGAUUAAAUGGGAAUGUUAAUACUGGCCAAGUAGCUCAAGUUAGUCUGGAAAACCACUCUUACCUGCUUUCUGCAGGUGCUUUGGUAGUAUUUACAUCAAUGUUCUAGAUACAGUUAAUCUGUUCGAUGAUGAAUCUUGUUUUGGUGGCCAGUGGAAGUAAGACUUCAGCUUGCUUCUCAACCAGGAUUCUUUUUGUUUUAGUUACAGACUAAUUUUUGAUCCCUUCAUACCACUAGGAAUAAUUGCAUUGCAGUAUUAGAGUUACCUGGGGCUACCUAAUACUAAUGUUGUGUGCGUGCAAGAAUGCUUUCUGAAUGUAUUUAAUAAAACUUAAGGUGGUAUAGUGUUAUCUAUGAAGGUGAAUACUGUUUUUAUAUAAUUUUGUAUGGAAAACAAUAACAUCUGUUGCUUUGUUCUGUACAUGUGCAAAUAAAUGUGGCUUUGUAGACUA